rnacentral:lncRNA from 1 species
CAGGGCCUCCCCCAAGCCAGCCAGGGACCUGGGAGCUAGCUAAGGUGGCGCUUGAACCUCAGCAGGGCCAUCGGGUUACCACGUGAUGCUGGGCAUGGGACUGAAUCACUUGAAUGCUCUCAGGUGCUUCUGUUCAAUUUGCCUGAGUCAAAGUACCUCAUCAUUACCCUUCAUACAGCUAUUUCGUGGAAGCACCAGGUCACUUAAAUCACAGUCUCUGAGGGGUCUCCAUGCAACCCUGGAUCGUAUACCAACUCAAAGGGCUGAGUGGGCACAGCCCAUAGAAGGAGGCGGGCCUGCGCUUGAAGGUCUUCAGCAGGACACUCUCUCUGCUGGAAAAGUUACAUUGUAGCAUUUUGAGUUUACAAAAGACUAUGUAUCUAACUAAUGACUACUAUAUUGACAGGCGUUUGGACGUGGCUACAAUGUUGUAGGGAAAACAUGAUGUCUCCAUUGUCUUUGACUUCCAGUAAGCCCCAGGAAAUUGUUAAUCAUUAAGAGGUACCUUACUGGCUUCUAUUCCAAUCUGAAGACAUGAAGCAGAGCUCUGUCUGCAAGUUUCAAAGGUCCAGCAGAGAGUUGUGAACGUGAUGAGAUACAAGCUUGGGAUAGAAGGGAAGGCACCAACAAAUCUCAUUGUGAAGAUUCCACAUAUCAAGCAGUGCGGUGCAGCUUGGAGGCAAACGGCGGGCAUGUGUGAUCUCCCUGGAAGAGAGACAAAUGGCGCUGCAGGGAGCUCCAUCCAG